rnacentral:rRNA from 1 species
GACGAACGCUGGCGGCGUGCUUAACACAUGCAAGUCGAACGAUGAACUUAGAGCUUGCUCUGGGGGAUUAGUGGCGAACGGGCGAGUAACUCGUGAGUAACCUGCCGUGGACUCUGGGAUAACUUCGAGAAAGCGGAGCUAACACCGGAUAGUACCUUGCACCGCAUGGUGUGGGGGGGAAUGUUUUUCGGUGUGGGAUGGACUCGCGGCGUAUCAGCUUGUUGGUGGGGUAAUGGCUCACCAAGGCGUCGACGGGUAGCCGGCCUGAGAGGGUGACCGGCCACACUAGGACUGAGACACGGCCCAGACUCCUACGGGAGGCAGCAGUGGGGAAUAUUGCAUAAUGGGCGCAAGCCUGAUGCAGCAACGCCGCGUGCGGGAUGACGGCCUUCGGGUUGUAAACCGCUUUUAGUAGGGAAGAAGCCUUCGGGUGACGGUACCUGCAGAAAAAGGACCGGCUAACUACGUGCCAGCCGCCGCAGUAAAAC